AGCUUUGCACAGUGGCAAUAUUGUGGCCAGUGAGAUUUAUCGGAGUCAUGAUUAUUGCUGAUUGAAAACUUUUUGCAAUACCUCGCCAUGACGACUUGAAAUAUAGUUGGCGUUGACAGUUUUCGACAAUCUCUAUGGAGA
rnacentral:snRNA from 1 species